rnacentral:rRNA from 1 species
UUUAUGGAGAGUUUGAUCCUGGCUCAGGAUGAACGCUGGCGGCGUGCCUAAUACAUGCAAGUCGAGCGAACAGAUAAGGAGCUUGCUCCUUUGACGUUAGCGGCGGACGGGUGAGUAACACGUGGGUAACCUACCUAUAAGACUGGAAUAACUCCGGGAAACCGGGGCUAAUGCCGGAUAACAUGUUGAACCGCAUGGUUCUACAGUGAAAGACGGUCUUGCUGUCACUUAUAGAUGGACCCGCGCCGUAUUAGCUAGUUGGUGGGGUAACGGCCUACCAAGGCGACGAUACGUAGCCGACCUGAGAGGGUGAUCGGCCACACUGGAACUGAGACACGGUCCAGACUCCUACGGGAGGCAGCAGUAGGGAAUCUUCCGCAAUGGGCGAAAGCCUGACGGAGCAACGCCGCGUGAGUGAUGAAGGUCUUCGGAUCGUAAAGCUCUGUUGUUAGGGAAGAACAAAUGUGUAAGUAACUGUGCACAUCUUGACGGUACCUAACCAGAAAGCCACGGCUAACUACGUGCCAGCAGCCGCGGUAAUACGUAGGUGGCAAGCGUUAUCCGGAAUUAUUGGGCGUAAAGCGCGCGUAGGCGGUUUUUUAAGUCUGAUGUGAAAGCCCACGGCUCAACCGUGGAGGGUCAUUGGAAACUGGAAAACUUGAGUGCAGAAGAGGAAAGUGGAAUUCCAUGUGUAGCGGUGAAAUGCGCAGAGAUAUGGAG